UGUGGGAGCGGGCUUGCCCGCGAUGACGUCGUGUCAGUCACCACAUUAGUCGCGGAUAUACCCCUAUCGCGGGCAAGCCCGCUCCCACA
rnacentral:antisense_RNA from 1 species